AAGACAAGUAGUGAUUCUACAACAUUUUGCUAUGCUGAUGGACAGUGACUUGACUGUAAAGGGGUUUAUAGGGGGGACCUGGUAUAGGGGAGAGCCUAGUAAACAUAAUAUUCUUCAUGUAAGUGUAGAUUAAAGAUAACAAAA